rnacentral:rRNA from 1 species
AACGAACGCUGGCGGCAGGCUUAACACAUGCAAGUCGAACGAGAUCUUCGGAUCUAGUGGCAGACGGGUGAGGAACACGUGGGAACAUCCCUUUCAGUUCGGAAUAACGUUGGGAAACUAACGCUAAUACCGGAUACGUCCUUCGGGAGAAAGAUUUAUCGCUGAAAGAUUGGCCCGCGUCUGAUUAGCUAGUUGGUGAGGUAAUGGCUCACCAAGGCUACGAUCAGUAGCUGAUCUGAGAGGAUGAUAAGCCACAUUGGGACUGAGACACGGCCCAAACGCCUACAGGAGGCAGCAGUGGAGAAUAUUGGACAAUGGGCGCAAGCCUGGUCCAGCCAUGCCGCGUGAGUGAUGACGGCCUUCGGGUUGUAAAGCUCUUUUGUCCGGGAAGAUAAUGACUGUACCGGAAGAAUAAGCCCCGGCAAACUUCGUGCCAGCCGCCGCCGUAA